rnacentral:rRNA from 1 species
UACGUAGGUGGCGAGCGUUGUCCGGAUUUAUUGGGUUUAAAGGGUGCGUAGGCGGCCCUCUAAGUCAGUGCUGAAAUAUCCCGGCUUAACCGGGAGGGUGGCAUUGAUACUGGGGGGCUUGAAUGAAGUUGAAGUGGGCGGAAUUGACGGUGUAGCGGUGAAAUGCUUAGAUAUCGUCAAGAACACCGAUAGUGAAGACAGCUCACUAAGCUUCUAUUGACGCUGAGGCACGAAAGUGUGGGGAUCAAACAGG